rnacentral:rRNA from 1 species
GAUGAACGCUAGCUACAGGCUUAACACAUGCAAGUCGAGGGGCAUCAGGAAGAAAGCUUGCUUUCUUUGCUGGCGACCGGCGCACGGGUGAGUAACACGUAUCCAACCUGCCCUUUACUCGGGGAUAGCCUUUCGAAAGAAAGAUUAAUACCCGAUGGCAUAAUGAUUCCGCAUGGUUUCAUUAUUAAAGGAUUCCGGUAAAGGAUGGGGAUGCGUUCCAUUAGGUUGUUGGUGAGGUAACGGCUCACCAAGCCUUCGAUGGAUAGGGGUUCUGAGAGGAAGGUCCCCCACAUUGGAACUGAGACACGGUCCAAACUCCUACGGGAGGCAGCAGUGAGGAAUAUUGGUCAAUGGGCGCUAGCCUGAACCAGCCAAGUAGCGUGAAGGAUGAAGGCUCUAUGGGUCGUAAACUUCUUUUAUAUAAGAAUAAAGUGCAGUAUGUAUACUGUUUUGUAUGUAUUAUAUGAAUAAGGAUCGGCUAACUCCGUGCCAGCAGCCGCGGUAAUACGGAGGAUCCGAGCGUUAUCCGGAUUUAUUGGGUUUAAAGGGAGCGUAGGUGGACUGGUAAGUCAGUUGUGAAAGUUUGCGGCUCAACCGUAAAAUUGCAGUUGAUACUGUCAGUCUUGAGUACAGUAGAGGUGGGCGGAAUUCGUGGUGUAGCGGUGAAAUGCUUAGAUAUCACGAAGAACUCCGAUUGCGAAGGCAGCUCACUGGACUGCAACUGACACUGAUGCUCGAAAGUGUGGGUAUCAAACAGGAUUAGAUACCCUGGUAGUCCACACAGUAAACGAUGAAUACUCGCUGUUUGCGAUAUACAGUAAGCGGCCAAGCGAAAGCAUUAAGUAUUCCACCUGGGGAGUACGCCGGCAACGGUGAAACUCAAAGGAAUUGACGGGGGCCCGCACAAGCGGAGGAACAUGUGGUUUAAUUCGAUGAUACGCGAGGAACCUUACCCGGGCUUAAAUUGCAGUGGAAUGAUGUGGAAACAUGUCAGUGAGCAAUCACCGCUGUGAAGGUGCUGCAUGGUUGUCGUCAGCUCGUGCCGUGAGGUGUCGGCUUAAGUGCCAUAACGAGCGCAACCCUUAUCUUUAGUUACUAACAGGUUAUGCUGAGGACUCUAGAGAGACUGCCGUCGUAAGAUGUGAGGAAGGUGGGGAUGACGUCAAAUCAGCACGGCCCUUACGUCCGGGGCUACACACGUGUUACAAUGGGGGGUACAGAAGGCAGCUAGCGGGUGACCGUAUGCUAAUCCCAAAAGCCUCUCUCAGUUCGGAUCGAAGUCUGCAACCCGACUUCGUGAAGCUGGAUUCGCUAGUAAUCGCGCAUCAGCCACGGCGCGGUGAAUACGUUCCCGGGCCUUGUACACACCGCCCGUCAAGCCAUGGGAGCCGGGGGUACCUGAAGUACGUAACCGCAAGGAUCGUCCUAGGGUA